rnacentral:lncRNA from 1 species
GUAAUAUUUUGCAUAUUAUCAUUACUCAUCAGUUUCUAAAUAAUACACAACUUUGAUCAAAAUUGGCAUAGGAUAAUUCCCUUCUUCCCUUGUUACUGUUACCAGAGAGAUUUAUUAAAUAUUUGUGCCUUAAUCCUAUAGCCUAGAUUAUUACUUUAUUGUCAGGUUAUGUUUAGCAGCCUAUUCCCGAAGAUUGCAGAUAUAAGUAUAAGUUGAAAUUAUUUGACUCCAAACUACAGUGUCUUAUUAAGAACUUCAACAGCUCUUUCAUGCAAAACAGUCUCUCUACUUACAAAGACUCAUCAAACCAAUGUCUGUGAAGAGGGUACGGCUAAGAAAGGACAACCCAGGCAAAUGACAUGAAAUGUAUUCAUAUGUUAUAAAGGUCCAGUCAAGAAAUAUAUAUGUUUGCCAAGCAGCAUAUCUGAGCAUUUUUGAAAUUAAAUGUUCGUGUCUACAUAAACAAGUUCUUCAAUUCGGAAGCCCAACAAGUGACAGCUGUGGGAAAAAUAACCAACACAAAUUCCAUCCAGUUCCUCUAAGUAAGGUCAUCAAUGAGCACAUAAGGUCCAUUACUCAUUAUCAAAAAACAAAAAAGAAGAAAUAUUUAGAUUCUUGUCUGUGUAUUGCAGAUUAAUACAGAGAUUUUGUGGAUAAUUUCAUAAUAAUAAUUCCAAAAUAUUCUAUCCAAAUUCAUGUGCCAUACAGUAGAUAUUUGCAUAUCUUUCAAUAUGAAAACAAUAUAUCUUUUGGCUUCCCAAGAUCAGAUAUAUAUGAAACAUGCACCUUGAAUGAUAUCAGCAAGCAGAAAGCAUAGAAGGAAAAUAACAAAGUAACUGCUGGCAAAAUUAGAGUGGAAAAGGAGCUACACUUGUUAUGUGACAAUGUUUUUCAUAUGAGGGUUGCUGAUAGUUUAAAAUGGAAAUGUGAUGGUUAUUAGUAUGGCUUAUAAGAAGAAUUUACCAUUACCAAAACUGGUAUUCAGCAAGAAUAUUACAAAUGACAACUUUGGUGUCAUGUUUUUGAUAUCCAUGAACACAAGAAUACAGUGCCACAUUUCUUUGUGUAUCCAGAGUUUGCAGUAAAAAAGGAUCCAAAUGAAGUUUGGAUUAUUUUUUAAAAAAGUUAAAACAGAUAAGCAGGAC